rnacentral:rRNA from 1 species
UGGGGAAUUUUGGACAAUGGGCGAAAGCCUGAUCCAGCAAUGCCGCGUGUGUGAAGAAGGCCUUCGGGUUGUAAAGCACUUUUGUCCGGAAAGAAAUCCUUGGCUCUAAUACAGUCGGGGGAUGACGGUACCGGAAGAAUAAGCACCGGCUAACUACGUGCCAGCAGCCGCGGUAAUACGUAGGGUGCAAGCGUUAAUCGGAAUUACUGGGCGUAAAGCGUGCGCAGGCGGUUUGCUAAGACCGAUGUGAAAUCCCCGGGCUCAACCUGGGAACUGCAUUGGUGACUGGCAGGCUAGAGUAUGGCAGAGGGGGGUAGAAUUCCACGUGUAGCAGUGAAUGCGUAGAGAUGUGGAGGAAUACCGAUGGCGAAGGCAGCCCCCUGGGCCAAUACUGACGCUCAUGCACGAAAGCGUGGGGAGCAAACAGGAUUAGAUACCCUGGUAGUCCACGCCCUAAACGAUGUCAACUAGUUGUUGGGGAUUCAUUUCCUAGUAACGUAGCUAACGCGUGAAGUUGACCGCCUGGGGAGUACGGUCGCAAGAUUAAACUCAAAGGAAUUGACGGGGUCAUA